GAUUUUGAUGGGUUGGUCCCUGGUACAGAGAACUUCAAGAGGCCUCUCUCCGGGGCUGAUUGCACUGUGUACUCUCCAAUGAAGAAAAGAACCCCAGGGUACUCCACCAAAUUUCUUGCUGGAACAGAAUUUCCUCAGUCAACAGAGGGACAAAAUCUUGGUCAGUCUUGCUCUAAAUUCCAUGAUGCAACAAUUACAAGAGUCAUGC
rnacentral:misc_RNA from 1 species